rnacentral:rRNA from 1 species
CGAAAACGAAUUCUCUCUUGAGUGGAUCCUGAGUACGACGGAGCACGUGAAAUUCCGUCGGAAUCUGGGAGGACCAUCUCCUAAGGCUAAAUACUCUCUAGUGACCGAUAGUGAACCAGUACCGUGAGGGAAAGGUGAAAAGUACCCCGGAAGGGGAGUGAAAGAGAACUUGAAACCGUGUGCUUACAAGUAGUCAGAGCCCGUUAAUGGGUGAUGGCGUGCCUUUUGUAGAAUGAACCGGCGAGUUACGAUCUGAUGCAAGGUUAAGCAGAAAAUGUGGAGCCGUAGCGAAAGCGAGUCUGAAUAGGGCGAAUGAGUAUUUGGUCGUAGACCCGAAACCAGGUGAUCUACCCUUGGUCAGGUUGAAGUUCAGGUAACACUGAAUGGAGGACCGAACCGACUUACGUUGAAAAGUGAGCGGAUGAACUGAGGGUAGCGGAGAAAUUCCAAUCGAACUUGGAGAUAGCUGGUUCUCUCCGAAAUAGCUUUAGGGCUAGCCUCAAGUGAUGAUUAUUGGAGGUAGAGCACUGUUUGGACGAGGGGCCCCUCUCGGGUUACCGAAUUCAGACAAACUCCGAAUGCCAAAUAAUUUAACUUGGGAGUCAGAAUGUGGGUGAUAAGGUCCAUAUUCGAAAGGGAAACAGCCCAGACCACCAGCUAAGGUCCCAAAAUAUAUGUUAAGUGGAAAAGGAUGUGGCGUUGCCCAGACAACUAGGAUGUUGGCUUAGAAGCAGCCAUCAUUUAAAGAGUGCGUAAUAGCUCACUAGUCGAGUGACACUGCGCCGAAAAUGUACCGGGGCUAAACAUAUUACCGAAGCUGUGGAUUGUCCUUUGGACAAUGGUAGGAGAGCGUUCUAAGGGCGUUGAAGCAUGAUCG